UAUAUUUGAGUAUAAAAUGUACAUUAAAUUUUGAUUUUAAAGGAAGAAAUUCUAAGUUUCUAAAUAUAA
rnacentral:tRNA from 1 species